ACACACCCCCUACAGGGUGAGGAGGAUUGGCCACAACCCAGCAUGUGCCCUUGACUGGAAUCGAACCCGCAAUUCUUCAGUCUGCAGGCCGACACUCUAUCACUGAGCCACGCCGGCUAGGGCUUGAGGGUCUUUCUUAACCCUCCACUGCCCCUCCUGUAUAAAACUGUAAACUUUCAACUCCCUGUCCCCCUAAGAAACUUUCUACAAUAUGUAACUUAUUUUAACUAUCAUCCCCAAUAUGAGUUCUAGAAAUGCAAGGGUUUAUCUGUGUUGUUCACUGAUACAUUCCCAAGGACCAGAACAGCCCAAGUUACCUGACAAGAGUGCAGUAAAUAUUUGUGAAUUAAUGUUACUCACUUAAGAGAUGUUUGCUGGGCAGCUGGCCCAUGCUGAGUUUGUUAAAGCCAAGAUAAGUAAGACACUGUACUGGCCUUGAAUGCACCAGAAGGAGAACUGACCACGAACAAAAAUGUGCACCACAGGACUGCAAACUAAGGCCACGGGCAGACAUGCCAAAUGAUCCGAGGACAAGGCCUUUGCUUCCCCUUUCUGGGGACCGGUUCAGCUUCCCACCGACUUGCAGCUCUCCAGGCAUCCCCUCCACUCGCCUUCCCCAAGCCGGAGCAGUUACUUUCUUAUCCAGACUGUGUGCAACCUUCGGCCUCUUCACACAGGCACAGGAUUUGAUGAAAGAAAUUUAAAAGGUUCUGCUUGCCCAGAUGGUAUGGCUGAACCUAUACACCAAGAAGUCACCCAUCCAUUCCCAGGUGGUCAGGGCACAUGCCCGGGUUGUGUGCUCCAUCCCCAGUUAGGGGACUUGCAGGAGGCAGCUGAUCGAUGUUUCUAUCUCUCCCUUUUCUUUCCUCUCUCUAAAUAUCAAUAAAACAUUUUUUAAAAAAAUAAAUAAAUAAAAGGCUCUGCUCUUCAGGCUCCACCCUCUCUCCCUUGCCUCAGGGCCACUCCCCACAGUGAGCCAAGUACACAAAAAAUAAACAUUUUUAAAAAGAGAGAGAAAUGAUGACAAUUAGGGAAAUUAAAAGUAUGUCAUUAUUUUAAGUCCCCAAACUAAUUACCCAACCAGAUUUGUUUCACAUAGUGAUUUAUUUUACUCAAAAUUACAUAAUAGGAUCAUAAGGAAUAAGACAGGCAUGCUAAGGUGAUUAAGCAGAGACCUAGCCGUAUUUUUCUAAUAACUAUAAUCAGAAAUGUGCAGGAUUGGGGGAGCACAGGAGACUUUUAUUGAUAAACUGAUACAUUAAGAGUGUCCAAACUUGGUGUUGAAAACUAAGACAACUGUAUAUGGAGGCACUAUUCUUAUUGAUUCUUGCCAAUAACCAACUGUAGUCCCUUUUUGUAAUGCAGUUUCAAUGGAAUUAAGCACAAACAACUUGAAAGCAGUCAGUUACAAAAGGUAGUUGUGGUCAGGUAGUUAGUUGUACUACGUAAAUUUGCACAUUUGGGGGGAAAUCCCAAAUAAGUUCUACUACGGUGGAUAGCUGUGGGUCAUAAAAGUGGAAGAGUCUUUCUAUUAAAAGUCACAGCAUUAAUUUCUGAAAUCUUAACAUUAAAUUCCUCGAGUUCAGAAUGUCUAAGUUUUUGUCUGUGUGCACUGACAAAAUUGUAUUUGUUUGUUUUUAUUUUCAUACUAAUAAAAUAGAUUAUAAAGUUA